GCGUCACAAAGGCCCUCGGCGGCGUUGGCGGCGGCGGCGGGGACACAGCACCGCGGGCGGCGGCGCGGACGGCGGCGAUGGGCGGGGCCUAGCGACGAAGUUCUGCCCACCAUGUGGCAGUGUUGCAGGAAGCAAGCAGAAAAUGAUGGCUGGGAAAUAGGAUCAGUACAUGGCUGCCAAGAUCCAGAUGCUGGAGAAGC